rnacentral:lncRNA from 1 species
CCUGACAGCAGCUCCUCCCACUGCUGCACCCCAGGGCUAGGAUCCGGAACCCCCUGUCCAGCAGGACUUUCUCCAAGGAGAGAAGCAGUCUCCAGGUCUCACACCCAGGACCUGACAGCUGCAAAGUGCUCUGGUGGAGACCUCAGGCUCUGCAUGUCACCCAUUGCUCCAGAGAGGCCUGCAGACAGAAGCCUUUGACAAGCUUCGAUCUGGAAUAGGAUUCUCCAGCCUACACAUGAGCAUCUCCUGGAGGAAGUCUGCAGAGAAUUUUUGAGUUACAUUUGGAGAGAUUCGGAUAUGGAG